rnacentral:rRNA from 1 species
GAUGAACGCUGGCGGCGUGCCUAAUACAUGCAAGUCGAGCGAAUGGAUUAAGAGCUUGCUCUUAUGAAGUUAGCGGCGGACGGGUGAGUAACACGUGGGUAACCUGCCCAUAAGACUGGGAUAACUCCGGGAAACCGGGGCUAAUACCGGAUAACAUUUUGAACCGCAUGGUUCGAAAUUGAAAGGCGGCUUCGGCUGUCACUUAUGGAUGGACCCGCGUGCGCAUUAGCUAGUUGGUGAGGUAACGGCUCACCAAGGCAACGAUGCGUAGCCGACCUGAGAGGGUGAGCGGCCACACUGGGGCUGGGACACGGCCCAGACUCCGACGGGAGGCAGCAGUAGGGAAGCUUCCGCAAUGGACGAAAGUCUGACGGAGCAACGCCGCGUGAGUGAUGAAGGCUUUCGGGUCGUAAAACUCUGUUGUUAGGGAAGAACAAGUGCUAGUUGAAUAAGCUGGCACCUUGACGGUACCUAACCAGAAAGCCACGGCUAACUACGUGCCAGCCGCCGCGGUAA